UGGGGAAUAUUGCACAAUGGAGGCAACUCUGAUGCAGCAAUGUCGCGUGAGUGAAGAAGGCCCUUGGGUCGUAAAGCUCUUUUAUGGGGGAAGAUGAUGACGGUACCCCAAGAAUAAGCACCGGCUAACUAUGUGCCAGCAGCCGCGGUAAUACAUAGGGUGCGAGCGUUGUUCGGAAUUACUGGGCGUAAAGGGCGCGCAGGCGGAAUAGUAAGUCGGAGGUGAAAGCCCGGGGCUCAACCCCGGAGGGUCUUUCGAAACUGCUAAUCUAGAGAGGGUCAGGGGCCGGCAGAAUUCCUGGUGUAGAGGUGAAAUUCGUAGAUAUCAGGAGGAAUACCGGUGGCGAAGGCGGCCGGCUGGGGCCACUCUGACGCUGAGGCGCGAAAGCGUGGGGAGCAAACAGG
rnacentral:rRNA from 1 species